CGAACGGGAUCCGGCACUAUAGCAAUAUAGAGCUGGUGAGAGUGGCGGAAGGGUGAGUAACGCGUGAGCAACCUGCCUUUAAGUUGGGGAUAACCUCCCGAAAGGGAAGCUAAUACCGAAUGUGGUUCUGCAACGCAUGUUGUGGCGACUAAAGCUGGGGAUCCUUCGGGACCUGGCGCUUGAAGCGGGGCUCGCGUGCCAUCAGCUAGUUGGCGGGGUAACGGCCCACCAAGGCUUACGGCUAGCUGGUCUGAGAGGACGACCAGCCACACUGGGACUGAGACACUGCCCAGACUCCUACGGGAGGCUGCAGUCGAGAAUCAUUCGCAAUGCGCGAAAGCGUGACGAUGCGACGCUGCGUGGAGGAUGACGGCCUUCGGGUUGUAAACUCCUGUCAUUAGAGAACAAGGCGUACGGUUUAACUGGCCGUGCGUUGAUAGUAUCUGAAGAGGAAGAGACGGCUAACUCUGUGCCAGCAGCCGCGGUAAUACAGAGGUCUCAAGCGUUGUUCGGAUUCAUUGGGCGUAAAGGGUGCGUAGGUGGCGAUGUAAGUCGGGUGUGAAAUCUCCAAGCUCAACUUGGAAACUGCACUCGAUACUGCGUCGCUGGAGGACUGUAGAGGGCAUUGGAAUUCACGGUGUAGCAGUGAAAUGCGUAGAUAUCGUGAGGAAGACCAGUGGCGAAGGCGAAUGCCUGGGCAGUUCCUGACACUGAGGCACGAAGGCCAGGGGAGCGAACGGGAUUAGAUACCCCGGUAGUCCUGGCAGUAAACGGUGCACGUUUGGUGUGGGAGGAUUCGAC
rnacentral:rRNA from 1 species